rnacentral:rRNA from 1 species
GUCCAGACUCCUACGGGAGGCAGCAGUGGGGAAUAUUGCACAAUGGGGGAAACCCUGAUGCAGCGACGCCGCGUGAGCGAAGAAGUACCUCGGUAUGUAAAGCUCUAUCAGCAGGGAAGAAGAUGACGGUACCUGAAUAAGAAGCACCGGCUAAAUACGUGCCAGCAGCCGCGGUAAUACGUAUGGUGCAAGCGUUAUCCGGAUUUACUGGGCGUAAAGGGAGCGCAGGCGGCGCGCCAAGUCUGAUGUGAAACCCCGGGGCUCAACCCCGGGCAUGCAUUGGAAACUGGCGGGCUGGAGUGCAGGAGAGGUAAGCGGAAAUCCUAGUGUAGCGGUGAAAUGCGUAGAUAUUAGGAGGAACACCAGUGGCGAAGGCGGCUUACUGGACGGCAACUGAC